GUAAGAGGAAGUCCUAGGCUUCAAGGGAGUCUGGGUUCCUUGGAAACAUCAGGGCACAGCACAUGAGUCAAUUCCUCCAGAAAGAGAAAAACCUGCUAGAGAAGUAAGGAGGCCAAAGCAUGAAAGAUAAACACAUAAGCACAAGUGAAGGCCUGCAGGAACACCACGGGAACAGGCAAGUGAGUACUUGCUUUGUUUGUUUACCAUUCAGGAGCAAAGCCAGUUAGGGAACAUGUUGACACAAUAAUAUGUAGUGGCAAAGGCUGAUAAAAUAUUAUUGUAUGCAUGUAUAUAAUAAGAAAACAUAGAACGAAUUAGAGAGAAAGUUAAGAAUGCAGGGGUAUGGAAUGUGUAUUGCCAUAUACAAGUGUGAUGUCACACACACUAGAUAUGUGACAUCACACAUAUAUGGGACAGCAUUCAUAAAGAGGCCCUAAUGCAAAUAAUUUCAUGGAAUUAAGUGGAGAUUUAAAAAAGAGAAAGAGGAAGUAAAGAGGAAGACAGGACAAAUGUAGAUGUUAUUUUUUUUUCCCAAGAGGACUUACAUUUUCCAUCCUAUAUGUUUUUAACACUCCUUCUUAAGAGAUGGAGACUAUUUUUCUUCCACUUUUAUCUAGAAGGAUCUGUGUCUAUGGUAAAAGGAAUUUAUGAUGUGAUUCCCUAAUGUAGGUCAUAAAAAAUGAUAGUUUUGAUCUGGCUCUCUUUGGUCACUGCUAUGGGGCUCUGAGCUGCCAUAGUGGUUUUAGGUCACCAUGCUGUGAGCAACCCUACGUCAAAUGUGGAUUAUCCAGUUAUCAGCUCCAGCUGAGGUGCCUGCCAACAGUCAGCACCAGCUGUCAGAUGUGUGAAUAAAGAUGUGUACAGAAGAUUCCCUCUCCAAGCCUUCAGGUUCCUCCAGCUGACACUUCAGCCAUCAUGAAGCAGAAACGAAGGGUGGCCUAGAGAAGAGAAUUGCUGAGACACUGUGUGCACUGCAAAUAGAAAAGGUUUGAACUCCCUGAAUUAGCCUGUUUAAUCUUCAUAUCAACCAAAGGAGCUGUACACAACAUCAGAGGCAGAGAUUGGGGAGACAGGAAAAGAAGAGGCUUUUGUUUCUUUCUACCACUCAUCUGGGUAUCAGACACUAAUCAUGGUAAACAGGGAAGUCACCACCACCAGAAUAGGAUCUGCCCCCAGGACCUCCCCACAAUGCCUCCUGAGAAGGCCUUCCAACAAAGAGUAGAAGAUGUGAGAUUCGUCCAAGAGCAGAUUCCAUUCAGAUCCCAAUCCCUAUGAUAACAGAACAACACAAGGUGAGAGGCAGCUGCCCAUCCUGGAUAAAACCAAGUUCCUGGUAUUUGACCAUAUCAACAUGGGCAAGCUCAUCAGGAUAACUAGAAGGUGCUUACAGCUCAAUGUUCAUCAAGGCUUCUUCCUUUUGGUAAACCAAGAAACAUGGUGAGUGUGUCCUUGCCCAUCUCCAAGGGGCACGAGAGUGAGAAGGAUGAAGCUGGAUUCUUCCUGUGUGUGGUGUAUAACUCCCAGAAGAUGUUCAGAAUGAAGUUGUUGGAAUUAAGAAUAGAACAAUGCAUCUUAAGUUUUGAAUGUCCUUAUUAAGGGAAAAAAGAGAUUCUAACAACUGGACUGAUCAGUUCAUCAGUAACAUGUCAUCAGAACACUUGUGUUUCACCUAGGAAUUUUAGGAGUUUGUUUUUGUAUUUAGAGCAGAAAAACUGAGGUCCAAGUGAGCACACCCAGCUUUGGGAACCUGUAUUAUUUAACAUAAGCAUAUUGUUUUCAAAUUUUAGAAGUUUAAAAAUAAAAUACUUUGCAUCCUAAA